GGGCUGGUCGGCGCGCCUUGGGUGAGCGGGGACGGGUUAGUAACGCGUGAAGGCCCUUCUCUACGGAAUAGCCUCUGGAAAGAGUAAUACCGUAUACCCCUUUGGGGGAAAUUUAUCGGAAAGAUCGGCCCGGUUAGAUUAGGUAGUUGGGGGGUAACGGCCUACCAGCCUACAUCUAUAGGGUUUUAAGGAUGAUCACCUGGGACGAACACGGCCCAACUCCUACGGGAGGCAGCAGGGGGAAUCUUAACAAGGGGGCAACCCUGAUCUACCAUGCCGCGUGAGUGAUGAAGGCCUUAGGGUCGUAAAGCUUUUCGCCUGUGAUGAUAAUGACAGUAGCAGGUAAAGAGACCCCGGCUAACUCCGUGCCAGCAGCCGCGGUAAUGGAGGGGGUUAGCGUUGUUCGGAAUUACUGGGCGUAAAGCGCGCGUAGGCGGAUUAAAAGUUGGGGGUGAAAUCCCGGGGCUCAACCCCGGAACUGCCUCCAAAACUGCUAGUCUAGAGUUCGAGAGAGGUGAGUGGAAUUCCGAGUGAGAGGUGAAAUUCGUAGAUAUUCGGAGGAACACCAGGGCGAAGGCGGCUCACUGGCUCGAUACUGACGCUGAGGUGCGAAAGUGGGGGAGCAAACAGGAUUAAUACCCUGGUAGUCCACACCGAAACGAUGAAUGCCAGUCGUCGGGUAGUAUACUAUUCGGGACACACCUAACGGAUUAAGCAUUCCGCCUGGGGAGUACGGUCGCAAGAUUAAAACUCAAAGGAUUGACGGGGGCCCGCACAAGCGGUGGAGCAUGUGGUUUAUUCGAAGCAACGCGCAGAACCUUACCAACCUUGACAUCUGUGCUACAUCCAGAGAUGGAUGGGUUCCCUUUCGGGACCAGUGACAGGUGCUGCAUGGCUGUCGUCAGCUCGUGUCGUGAGAUGUUCGUUAAGUCCGGCUAACGAGCGCACCCCCAUCCUAUUCCAGCAGUUCGCUGGGCCUUCUAUGGAAAUUGCUCGUGAGCGGAGGAUGACAUCAUGGCUACGGGGCUACCACGUGCUACGAUGACUGUUCCCAAAAACU
rnacentral:rRNA from 1 species